UUGUGGUACGUCUGAGAGGUGGUUCCUGCAUGCCCAGCAGGUGAUUCCGGACUGUCCGCCACGUGGUUGUGGCACCUCUGAGAGGAGGUACCAGCAUGCCCAGCAGGUGACCCCAGAGAGUCCUCCAAGUGGUUCUGGCGUAGCCAGCAGGUGAUUUUGGCGUGUCCGGCAGGUGGUUCCGGCAUGCUCGGCAGGUGGUUCAGGCAGGUCCGGUAGGUGGUUCCGGUCUGUCCAGGAGGUGGUUCCGGUGUGUCUGGCACGUGGUUCCGUCACGUCUGACAGGUGGUUCUGGCAUGUCCGGCAGGUGAUUCUGGAUUGUCCACCAAGUGGUUCUGGCGUAGCCGGCAGGUGAUUUUGGCAUGUCCAACAGGUGGUUCCGACGAUUCGAGCAGGUGCUUCCGGCUAGCUCGGCAGCUGCUUCUGGCGUCUCCAGCACUUGAUUUUGGCACAUUUGAGAGGUGGGUCCGGCAUUCCCGGCAGGUGAUUCCAGAAAGUCCGGCAAGUGGUUCUGGCAUAGCCAGCAGGUGAUUUUUGCGUGUCCGACAGGUGGGUCCUGCGAGUCGAGCAGGUGGUUCCUACAUGCUCGGCAGGCGGUUCAUGCGUGUCCGGCAGGGGGUUCCGUUGUGUCCGGUAGGUGGUUCCGGCGUGUCCAGCACGUGGUUCUGGCACGUCUGAGAGGUGGUACCUGCAUGCCCGGCAGGUGAUUCCAGACUGUCCGCCAAGUGGUUCUGCCAUAGCCGAUAGGUGAUUUUGGAGUGUCCUGCAGGUGGUUCUGGGGAGUGGAUCAGGUGGCUCGGCGUGCUCAGGAGGUGCUUCCAGCGUCUCUGGCAUGUGAAUCUGGCACGUCUGAGAGGUGAUUCUGGCAUGCCCGGCAGGUGAUUCCGGACUGUCCCCCCGGUGGUUCUGGCAUAGCCGACAGUUGAUUUUGGCCUCUCCAGCAGGUGCUUGCGGCGUGUCGAGAAGGUGGCUCCGGCUUGUUCGGCAGGUGGUUCGGGCGUGUCUGGCAGCUGGUUCCGGUCUGUCUGGUAGGUGGUUCCGGCGUGUCUGGCACAUGCUUCUGGCAUGUCUGAGAGGUGGUUCCGGCAUGCCCGGCAGGUGAUUCCAGAGUGUCCGCCAAGUGGUUCUGGCAUAGCCGGCAGGUGAUUCCGGAGUGUCUGCCGAGUGGUUUUGGCGUAGCCGGCAAGUUAUUUUGGGGUGUCCAGCAGGUGGUUCUGGGGACUGGAUCAGGUGGUUCCGGCAAACUUGACAGGUGGUUCCGGUCUGUCCAGUAGGUGGUUCCGGCGUGUCCGGCACGUGCUUCUGGCACGUCUGAGAGGUUGUGCCGGCAUGCCCUUCACGUGAUUCCGGCUUGUCCCCCAAGUGGUUCUGGCGUAGCCGGCAGGUGGUUUUGCAUGUCCGGCUGUGGUUCCGGUGUGUCGAGCUGGUGGUUCCUUCGUGUCCAGCACGUGGUUCUGGUACGUCUGAGAUGCGGUUCCGGCAUGGCUGGCAGGUGAUUUCGGAGUGUCUGCCAUGUUGUUCUGGCAUAUCCAGCAGGUGAUUAUGGCGUGUCCGGCACAUCUUUCCAGCGAGUCGAGCUGGUUAUUCCUGCGUGCUUGGCAUGUGCUUCUGGUGUUUUUGGGAGUUGAUUCCGGCGUGUCAGGAAUGUGGUUGUGGCAAGUUUGAGAGGUAUUUCCUGCAUGCCCGCAAGAGAUUCCAGAGUGUCCACCAAGUGGUUCUGGUGGAGCUGGCAGGAGAUUUUGGCGUGUCCAGCAGGUGGGUCCUGCGUGUCGAGAAGGUGGUUCCUGCAUGCUCGGCAAGUGAUUCCGGCGUGUCCGGCAGGUGCUUCUGGUCUGUCCGGGAGCUGGUUCCGGCAUGGCCGGCACGUGGUUCUGGCACGUCUGUGAGGUGCUUCGGGCAUGCCCGGCAGGUGAUUCCUGGGUGUCAGCCAAGUGGUUCUGGCGACACCGGCUGGUUAUUUUGGUGUGUCCGGCAGGUCUUUCCUGCUUUUUGGGCUCGUGGCUCUGGCUUGUAAGACACAUGCUUGUGGCAUUUCUGACCCCCGUUCUUUCAUACUCCUCAGCUGGUUUCAGUGUUUCUGGAACCUGUUUGUGGCAUAUCCAACAGGUGUUAACAAUGUGUCUGGCAUGUCGUUGUGCUAUGUUUGGAAUCUGGUUCCAUGUCAUUGUGUGCAGCUGGCAUGUUGAAGAGAUGGUUCUGCAGUGUCAGAAUCUCUGUUCCACUGUGUCUGGCAGGUGGUUACAGGUGGUUCUGGCAUGCAAAGUGGGUGCUUCUGGUAUGCCUGUUGGGUCAUACUGGCAUGAAUGUGUGGCCCUUUGAGAGUGUGCAGAGGGUGUUUUUGGCAUGUCUCCCAGGGUUUUCUGGCACAUAAGGGGCAUGAUUCCUUUUUAUACAUCAGGUGAGUUUGUUCUCAGCGUCCUAAAGAGAUGGAAGGAAGAUGGUCUGUGGCUUGUGGCCCCUUGAGGGGUGGAGCCAAUGCAUUGUGCAUUCCAAUCUAGAGCAAUGGAGGGCAUGGCUGAGAGCAAGAGGGUCUUUCUGACAUAGCUGCAUUGUGACACUCUCUCCACCAGUGCACAAUGGUUGUUGGAAAAAGGCUUGCAGUCUAUCGCCUCCUGAGCAGGUGGAUGCUAAAUAAUUUGGGACUCAGCCCAGUUGCUUCAGGGGAAGAUGUAGGCAUUUCGUCUGAGCAAGGUUGGCAAGGUAGAAUUGCAGCAGAAGCAGAAGUCCUAAAGCGGCGAGUUAAGCGCUGGGAAGAAUUGGCGUUUGAGCUGACUUUG
ensembl:lncRNA